ensembl:lncRNA CASC15 cancer susceptibility 15
GGACUGGAAUAGCAAGAUGACCCAUCUCUAAACAAAGCAAACUGACUAGGAUUCUCUCAUGCUUAACAUGCAUCUUACUGGUUCUUUAUGAAGAGCUUUCUCUUGGCUCACAGGCAGAAGGAAUUUUCCUUGUCUUGGAUGAGACUUUUGACUUGGACUUUUGGGUUAAGUUCUGGAGACCAGAAGGCCAAAAUCAAAAGUAUGGGCAGGCUUGAUUUCUUUAGAAGACUCCAGCGGAGAACUGUGUCUCCUUGCUUCUGAUUCUACAUCUCCAUCCAUGGGCCACUGUUUCAGCAACCUCAGCCAGUGCAACACAACCUCAGCCAAGAAGAGUAUGCAGAGAAAGGAGUCCCCUACCUGCCACAAAACUGUUGUCUGAAAACUGUCUCAUAUUGUCUCAAGUUGUCAUUCAUUGUGAAUUAGACCUGUUUAACAUGUAAUCUGCAACAUGCUUCACUGUCUAAUUUUCCAGAGCCCCUCAUAUAAGGAACUGUAUUAUUGGUAUAAUCAUCAUGGUGAAGAAGUUGGUAUGUGGGGGAGAGAUGACAGAAACAGAGAGUAAGUCAGAGCUGGCUGCCUGACAGAUAAAAAGGAAAUGACCAAAAAAAAAAAAAAAGACACAGAAGAAUACUUUGUUGUCCACACAGAAAAGGGAAGUGUAGGUAAGACAGCAGUAGACUAAGAUUCUUAAGACUCAAGUUCUAGUCUUAUUUAUUAGCUAUGGGAGGCCUUGAGGGAGUUCUAGAAUUAAGUGAUCUCUCUUUAUAAAAUAGGAACAGUAAUAACUUCCUGGCUAACUCCCUGGCUGUCUCACAAUGCUGUAGUAGUAAGAAAUAAUUUUAUAAUUAAAGACUAUUUUAGGGCUGAUUACAUUUUUGGGCAGUGGCUCAUACAUGUAAUUUCAACAUUUUGGGAGGCCAAGGUGGGCGGAUUGCUUGAGCCCAGGAAUUCAAGACCAGGCUGGGCAACACAGACCUUGUCACUACAAAAGAAAAAAACAUUAGCUAGGCGUGGUGAUGUAUGCCUGUGGUCCCAGCUACUCAGGAAGCUGAGACAGGAGGAUCACCUGAGCCUGGGAGGUCGAGGCUACAGUGAGCCAUGAUCACACUACUGCACUCCAGCCUGGGAAACAGAGUGAGACUCUGUCUCAAAAAAAAAAAAAAAGGAAUAUUUUACACUUCAAGGUUCUAUACAAAUGUAAAAUAUCAUUCUAUUACUUAUUUAUAAUGCUGAUUAUUCUUUAAAUGACUUUAAAAUGUUAAUCUCUGCUUGAGCCUACGGAGAAGUAUGUAACAAAUUUGUGAAGGAUUGGCAUUAAACAUAGUCAAAAUAAAACAUAGAAAUUAUGGUAAAUAA